UACGGAGGGUGCGAGCGUUGUCCGGAAUCAUUGGGCGUAAAGGGCGCGUAGGUGGCCCCUCAAGCGUGCGGUGAAAGUCAGGGGCUCAACCCCUGAUCGGCCGUGCGAACUGGGGAGCUUGAGCACUGUAGAGGCAGGCGGAAUUCCGGGUGUAGCGGUGGAAUGCGUAGAGAUCCGGAAGAACACCGGUGGCGAAGGCGGCCCGCUGGGCAGAGACUGACGCUGAGGCGCGACAGCGUGGGGAGCAAACAGGG
rnacentral:rRNA from 1 species